rnacentral:misc_RNA from 1 species
CUGGGUUUCGGACCUCGUGUCCACUCACCCGCCCUUUGUCAUAUACAUCCACAUCAUUUCGGCCCCUGAUCCUCGGACGCCCCCUCUAUUAAGUUAGCGGGGUACCGCCUGUUGAUUGCGGGUCGGCAUUGCAAACCCACGCGGAUUACUGAAGUCUGAUACAAUUUUUUAAACGAAAUUA